UCGAUAACGAACGAGACCUUAACCUGCUAACUAGAAGUAUGAUAUUUUACUAUCAUGCUGCUUCUUAGAGGGACUAUUAGUGUUUAGCUGAUGGAAGUUUGAGGCAAUAACAGGUCUGUGAUGCCCUUAGAUGUUCUGGGCCGCACGCGCGCUACACUGAUAAAGGCAAAAAGUUUAUCCUUGAUCGGAAGGUCUGGGUAAUCUAUAAACUUUAUCGUGAUGGGGAUAGAUCAUUGUAAUUAUUGAUCUUCAACGAGGAAUUCCUAGUAAGCGUGAGUCAUCAGCUCACGUUGAUUACGUCCCUGCCCUUUGUACACACCGCCCGUCGCUAAUACCGAUUGAAUGGAUA
rnacentral:rRNA from 1 species